rnacentral:misc_RNA from 1 species
GGGGUUUUCCUUUUCCCC